GAGCGCAACUGAGGGAGCUUGCUCCCAAAGGUUAGCGGCGGACGGGUGAGUACACGUGGGUAACCUGCCUGUAAGACCGGGAUAACUUCGGGAAACCGGAGCUAAUACCGGAUCAUUCUUUUUCUCACAUGAGGGAAAGCUGAAAGACGGCGCAAGCUGUCACUUACAGAUGGGCCCGCGGCGCAUUAGCUAGUUGGUGAGGUAACGGCUCACCAAGGCGACGAUGCGUAGCCGACCUGAGAGGGUGAUCGGCCACAUUGGGACUGAGACACGGCCCAAACUCCUACGGGAGGCAGCAGUAGGGAAUCUUCCGCAAUGGACGAAAGUCUGACGGAGCAACGCCGCGUGAGUGAUGAAGGUCUUCGGAUCGUAAAACUCUGUUGUUAGGGAAGAACAAGUAUCGGAGUAACUGCCGGUACCUUGACGGUACCUAACCAGAAAGCCACGGCUAACUACGUGCCAGCAGCCGCGGUAAU
rnacentral:rRNA from 1 species